CCGGAACACUUUGAUCUUGGAUGUCUAGACUCCAGAACUAAAGAAAUUCGCUGCCAAACUCCGUAUUUGAGAUCCUGGACCUUCCACGCUGCCCACAUCAGGAGCUUUAGCCAGCAGCCUGGUCCUCAACUACAUGCUAAUCCCCGCCGGACCAUCGUUCAGUUUUAUUCACAGAAACGGUGCCUUCAAGAAAUCAAAGCAUAAGAGCCUUCGGAAGCAGCAUGUAAGUGCAACGUAACUUUCCCGAGUUUGGUGACGAUGAAUCGAUGAAUCGUAGACUGCAGGCUGAGCCGCCUGAGCUGGGAGCAGCAGCAGUUCUCAGGGAGCCACUGCCCCCUGGUGUCUCCACACUGGCCAGGAAGCAUUUUUGGUCAUGAUCUGUAAGAGAUUAUUGCUGGGCUCUUUCUGACUCGUGCCUUCAUCUCAUGGCUUUUAAAAUCAGACCUUUCUUCCUCCUCUCCCCCACUCUGAUUUUUAAUAAGACCCAUUUUAUUAUAAUUAGCAAAAUAGUGUAUACUCCUUGAAGAAAAUUUGAGUAUGAUUAUUUAAUUUCAUUAAUGUUUUAAUGUAUUUCCUCCCCCAAUUUUUUUUCUUUCUACGUAUAAGGAAAUCUAAUUUUACUUGGGGACAGAAGAAAAGCCACAAAAACUAUGAAACCUAAUUUUAUCAUAAAUGUCACAUAAACACGAUCCCCUGCACAGUAAGAAAACCAGUUUUUGAAUCUGCUAGAAUACUAAGAAACAGAGUUGAUGUUUCUCUCUUAAACAAUAUAAAACAUAAAGGAUAGCACUUUAGAUCAUAGGCCCUCAUAAAAUGUGCCUGUAGUUUCAAUACUAUGGAUUAAGAAUACUGGAGCGGGUUUUGGCCGGGCUCGGUGGCUCACGCCUGUAAUCCCAGCACUUUGGGAGGCCAAG